GGUUAAGCGACUAAGCGUACACGGUGGAUGCCCUGGCAGUCAGAGGCGAUGAAGGACGUGCUAAUCUGCGAAAAGCGUCGGUAAGGUGAUAUGAACCGUUAUAACCGGCGAUGUCCGAAUGGGGAAACCCAGUGCAAUUCGUUGCACUAUCGUUAACUGAAUACAUAGGUUAACGAGGCGAACCGGGGGAACUGAAACAUCUAAGUACCCCGAGGAAAAGAAAUCAACCGAGAUUCCCCCAGUAGCGGCGAGCGAACGGGGAGCAGCCCAGAGUCUGAAUCAGCUUGUGUGUUAGUGGAACGGUCUGGAAAGUCCGACGGUACAGGGUGAUAGUCCCGUACACCAAAAUGCACAGGUUGUGAACUCGAAGAGUAGGGCGGGACACGUGGUAUCCUGUCUGAAUAUGGGGGGACCAUCCUCCAAGGCUAAAUACUCCUGACUGACCGAUAGUGAACCAGUACCGUGAGGGAAAGGCGAAAAGAACCCCGGCGAGGGGAGUGAAAAAGAACCUGAAACCGUGUACGUACAAGCAGUGGGAGCACCUUCGGGUGUGACUGCGUACCUUUUGUAUAAUGGGUCAGCGACUUAUAUUCUGUAGCAAGGUUAACCGUAUAGGGGAGCCGCAGGGAAACCGAGUCUUAACUGGGCGUUAAGUUGCAGGGUAUAGACCCGAAACCCGGUGAUCUAGCCAUGGGCAGGUUGAAGGUUGGGUAACACUAACUGGAGGACCGAACCGACUAAUGUUGAAAAAUUAGCGGAUGACUUGUGGCUGGGGGUGAAAGGCCAAUCAAACCGGGAGAUAGCUGGUUCUCCCCGAAAGCUAUUUAGGUAGCGCCUCGUGAACUCAUCUUCGGGGGUAGAGCACUGUUUCGGCUAGGGGGUCAUCCCGACUUACCAACCCGAUGCAAACUACGAAUACCGAAGAAUGUUAUCACGGGAGACACACGGCGGGUGCUAACGUCCGUCGUGAAGAGGGAAACAACCCAGACCGCCAGCUAAGGUCCCAAAGUCAUGGUUAAGUGGGAAACGAUGUGGGAAGGCACAGACAGCCAGGAUGUUGGCUUAGAAGCAGCCAUCAUUUAAAGAAAGCGUAAUAGCUCACUGGUCGAGUCGGCCUGCGCGGAAGAUGUAACGGGGCUAAACCAUGCACCGAAGCUGCGGCAGCGACACUAUGUGUUGUUGGGUAGGGGAGCGUUCUGUAAGCCUGCGAAGGUGUGCUGUGAGGCAUGCUGGAGGUAUCAGAAGUGCGAAUGCUGACAUAAGUAACGAUAAAGCGGGUGAAAAGCCCGCUCGCCGGAAGACCAAGGGUUCCUGUCCAACGUUAAUCGGGGCAGGGUGAGUCGACCCCUAAGGCGAGGCCGAAAGGCGUAGUCGAUGGGAAACAGGUUAAUAUUCCUGUACUUGGUGUUACUGCGAAGGGGGGACGGAGAAGGCUAUGUUAGCCGGGCGACGGUUGUCCCGGUUUAAGCAUGUAGGCUGAUUGUCCAGGCAAAUCCGGAUAAUCAAGGCUGAGGUGUGAUGACGAGGCACUACGGUGCUGAAGUAACAAAUGCCCUGCUUCCAGGAAAAGCCUCUAAGCAUCAGGUAACAUCAAAUCGUACCCCAAACCGACACAGGUGGUCAGGUAGAGAAUACCAAGGCGCUUGAGAGAACUCGGGUGAAGGAACUAGGCAAAAUGGUGCCGUAACUUCGGGAGAAGGCACGCUGGUGUGUAGGUGAAGUCCCUGCGGAUGGAGCUGAGACCAGUCGAAGAUACCAGCUGGCUGCAACUGUUUAUUAAAAACACAGCACUGUGCAAACACGAAAGUGGACGUAUACGGUGUGACGCCUGCCCGGUGCCGGAAGGUUAAUUGAUGGGGUUAUCCGUAAGGAGAAGCUCUUGAUCGAAGCCCCGGUAAACGGCGGCCGUAACUAUAACGGUCCUAAGGUAGCGAAAUUCCUUGUCGGGUAAGUUCCGACCUGCACGAAUGGCGUAAUGAUGGCCAGGCUGUCUCCACCCGAGACUCAGUGAAAUUGAACUCGCUGUGAAGAUGCAGUGUACCCGCGGCAAGACGGAAAGACCCCGUGAACCUUUACUAUAGCUUGACACUGAACAUUGAGCCUUGAUGUGUAGGAUAGGUGGGAGGCUUUGAAGCGUGGACGCCAGUCUGCGUGGAGCCAACCUUGAAAUACCACCCUUUAAUGUUUGAUGUUCUAACGUUGGCCCCUUACCGGGGUUGCGGACAGUGUCUGGUGGGUAGUUUGACUGGGGCGGUCUCCUCCCAAAGCGUAACGGAGGAGCACGAAGGUUAGCUAAUCCUGGUCGGACAUCAGGAGGUUAGUGCAAUGGCAUAAGCUAGCUUGACUGCGAGCGUGACGGCGCGAGCAGGUGCGAAAGCAGGUCAUAGUGAUCCGGUGGUUCUGAAUGGAAGGGCCAUCGCUCAACGGAUAAAAGGUACUCCGGGGAUAACAGGCUGAUACCGCCCAAGAGUUCAUAUCGACGGCGGUGUUUGGCACCUCGAUGUCGGCUCAUCACAUCCUGGGGCUGAAGUAGGUCCCAAGGGUAUGGCUGUUCGCCAUUUAAAGUGGUACGCGAGCUGGGUUUAGAACGUCGUGAGACAGUUCGGUCCCUAUCUGCCGUGGGCGCUGGAGAAUUGAGGGGGGCUGCUCCUAGUACGAGAGGACCGGAGUGGACGCAUCACUGGUGUUCGGGUUGUCAUGCCAAUGGCACUGCCCGGUAGCUAAAUGCGGAAGAGAUAAGUGCUGAAAGCAUCUAAGCACGAAACUUGCCCCGAGAUGAGUUCUCCCUGAGACUUUAAGUCUCCUGAAGGAACGUUAAAGACGAUGACGUUGAUAGGCCGGGUGUGUAAGCGCAGCGAUGCGUUGAGCUAACCGGUACUAAUGAACCGUGAGGCUUAACCUU
rnacentral:rRNA from 1 species